GCUGCUUGGCCUUGUGCUUCUUGGCUGUCGGAGAUCCAGUUUCUGCGAGCCAUUUCUUCCCACUCUGCUUGCAUCUUAUCCCAAAACUCUGUGUCUGACUAGGGAGAGGAUAAAUCAAAAGGAAAACAAGGAAAGCAGGAUUUAAAAGAGGAAGAGAAAAGUGUGUGUGUGAGAGAAAAACAUCUUUCAGCUUCACAGCAUCUUCUGUUUUCGUUUUUUCUGUUUCCAAAACUGCAAACUCUGAAUACCUAACGCCUCCAGCUGAUCUUGGUGGAUAUUCAUCCCAGGCCACCUGUUUAAAAUGGCAAAUAAAAAUGCAAAGUAAUGCUGAUGACUACCUGUUGAUGGGAGGGCAGAAGUCUUUCAGGUGAGCAGUCAAGGGAGGAAGAAUUGAACAUUACCAAGCCUGAACAUUUGCAUACACAGUACAGUCACCAAUGGAUGAUUUCCCAAUGCUUUUUAAAAAAUUAUAUCUACAGUGCUCAUGACAGCACAUCUGACUAUCUCCUCCACCCUCAUUUUUUCAUUGCUGCAGCCUUACAAAAUAGAAACAAAACAAGGUUUUGCAGCACCGUAAAAAGGGUACAUAUUUAUUAUGAUGACACAAGUUUCUGUAGACUACGGUCGAUUUCGUUACAUGCAUAAGUCAAUGAAAGUUUAUACCAUAACAAAUUUGUUAGUGUAGGCACCGCAAGCUAUUUUUUUAUUCUUCUUCAGCAGCAGAGUAACAGAACAACCACUCUGGAAACCUUUACGAAUGAAGUAGGUUGGACAGGGAGAAUGUGACUGGCCUACUAUAACCCAAACAGCUUCAUGGCUGAGGGGGGAUUUGAACCCAGUACCAGCCCAAGGCUCUAGCCACUAUGCAAUGCUGGCUUUCACCUUUUUUCACUCCAUGCACCUUAAUGAAAUGCCACGCUGCAAGCUCUGAGACUGUGUCUUUGUCACCUCUAGUUUUGCAUUGCGCUUCAAGCCUGGGAUGCACGAAUCUGUCAAUUUCAGUGUCUCAUUUCCCAGUCUUAAAUUCAUCUACCCACAUUUCCAAAUCCAUCUGCACUGCCCUUGUGAAAAUCCAUCAAAGCAAACUUCUCAUAAUGUGCACAUUUUUGUAUGCAAUUUGGCCAAAUAUACAUAAAUUUAGCAAAUGCUGCUAAAUAAUAUUCCUUAAUAUAAUGUAGGGUUGCCAUAUGUCUGGACAUACUGUAGUCGGAAGCAGUGCCUGGGCAGAAAGCGGCAAAAUGUCUAGGAAAAUCCAGAUGUAUGGCAACCCAUGUUGACAGUAGCAUUUUUGCUGAUUUUUCUUUAAAAUAGCUCAAAAAUGUCAAUUUUGCCAAAAAACCUCAACAACUUUGCCCCCCCCGAAAGCUCUGUAUAAUGCAUUUUUUAUGUUCUCUGCUAAUAUUUGCAUGCUUAUGCACACUUCACUCUGGUAUCUUCUUCUUCUUUGGCAAUCACUCGUAGCUGAGUAAGAUCGUCUUCCAUAAACACGGUUUUAACAAUGAGUCCAUAAGUGACUGUGGAGGCCAAUUCUGGAUCCACACAUCCUUCCACAGUGGGGACAUUAGUUUCCGGGUUGGAGUUGAUCACAGUGUGGAUUUGCCAAGUGUGCCUUCCUCUUAGCACAUUUCUCCCUUGCAUCCUGAGUUUGAGCAUCUUCAAAGGCCAUGACCACCUUUGGCAAAGGCUGUUCUCUCUCACCCUAGUAUACCCAUUCUGGGACACAUUACUUGGCUGGAGAACUGCACUACAAAGGUUGGAGAAAUGGGGGGUUUGCAGGAUGGCUGCGUAUCAUUUCAGGAAGUGCGAAUUUGACCGUUAAAUGUGAACUGAAUUGAAUUUCUCCUCUCCCCCUUCUCCUUGAUUGCUAACGUUCUUGGUGAGUCAGAGUAUGCCUGAGUUUCGGGAGUGGAGAAGGGAAUGAGAGAUAGUAGAACCCCAGGAUUCCUAAGAAGUGGGGAGGGGGAGGAAUUGUUGUUGUUUAGUUGUUUAGUCGUGUCUGACUCUUCGUGACCCCAUGGACCAGAGCAUGCCAGGCACUUCUGUCUUCCACUGCCUCCUGCAGUUUGGUCAAACUCAUGUGGUAGCUUCAAAAACACUAUCCAACCAUCUCGUCCUCUGUCAUCCCCUUCUCCUUGUGCCCUCCAUCUUUCCCAACAUCAGGGUCUUUUCCAGGGAGUCUUCUCUUCUCAUGAGGUGGCCAAAGUAUUGGAGCCUCAGCUUCACGAUCUGUCCUUCCAGUGAGCACUCAGGGCUAAUUUCCUUAAGAAUGGAUGCGUUUGAUCUUCUUGCAGUCCAUGGGACUCUCAAGAGUCUCCUCCAACACCAUAAUUCACAAGCAUCAACUCUUUGGCCAUCACCCUUCUUGAUGGUCCAGCUCUCACUUCCAUACAUCACUACUGGGAAAACCAUAGCUUUUACUAUACGGACCUUUGUUGGCAAGGUGAUGUCUCUGUUGCUACUAAAAUUCAGCUAAGUUGCUAGAGUUAAGUAACUUGGACUUUACAACUCAUAAGAAGUAUCUAGAAUCUAGAGGUAAUUUAGCUCCGAACGCUACCAAACCGUAAAGGCAGGGCAGGCUUUGUCCGCCUGCUAGCAAACAUGAUUUGGUUUGAAUUCACCGUAUGACAGUCCUCCCAGGACCUUAUCAAAGAGCAGUUUAUAUAAAACUGGACUAUGCUCUCUGCACUUCCUCCUUAAUAAAGUCCAAGCAAUAUAGUUUUAUGUGGGUACUUUUGGGAACAACGUGAGGUUAUUGUGUCUGUUGUCUGCUUAGCUCUGCUUCUCCUGGACGCAAAAUGAAAAAGGCAAAUCAUAAACAGGAUUGUCUUAAAUCACCAGCCAGAGCCCCAGGAAUAAUCUAUCAGCAUUGUGGGUACUUAGAAUUAUAACUGCUUGCUAAUUAAAGUUUGGCAAUCGCAACAACCAGCAUCCACAACACAAACACUUUGCUGGUUCAGCUAACAUCCAGAUUCCCUUAAAGAUUCAUCAUGCUACAUUUUGGAUCUGGGAGGGAUGUUUUCACUUUGCUUUUGCUCUGGUUAUUAGUGCAGCUGAGGGCACACUAAUUCCAUGUACAUUAAUUCAAUGGUUUAUUUUAAAAUGUAAUCUGAGGUGCUUCCUUCCCUCCCCAGCCUUGAUCUUGAUGGGAUUUGGUCCCCCUGCUGCAAUUAGCAGUGGAAAAAUGCUGCCCGGAAUUUUUGGAGGAAAAGGGUUGUUUCAAAUGUGCUUUAAAAGGCAUAGUGUGCAUUCAGCCUUAGAGAGUUUAAAAAUGCACACAACAUAAUAUGAUAAGAUGCAAGGAGAUGUUAUAUUGUGUAUCUCAGGCUUGUCCAUCCUCAUGUUUUCCAGCAGUUUUGGACUAAAACUAAAGUGGGCUGGGGCAAAUGGAAAUUAUAGUCCAAAACAUCUGAAUAGCACCAGGUUGCUGAAGGCUGGCAUACUUUGUAAACAUAAAAUAAUACGUUAACAUAGACAAGGAUCUCUAGUUUUUCUUGACUGUCGGGACAGAGCCUUUAGAGUUAUGAACAGUCAAUAACCUGGUUCCUUUUCACAUGGCAUGUGAAACUCUCAGUUCUAUCUAGCUCUGCAAGAGCCCUCUCAAAGUCCAGACUUGGCAAGGCGUAUUCAUUUAGAUCUGCAUAUCCCCGUUGCGCCUAUGCUAAUUCACUGGGCACUUUGAUUUAAUUUCAGGGAUAUUCCAUCCAAGCUGCACCACUAGAGCUGGAUUCCGCUUCUCUUCUUUGAUCCAGGAAUAAACAGCCAACUGAAACAACUCCUCAGCAGAAGGGCAACUGGUCCGAGGUCUCUAUAAUUAAUGUUUCUUCUCACACACUGGAGUUGGGUUUCUUUAGCCAAAAGACCUUUAUCUUGCAGGCAGCAUCUGUUCUCCGUGAUGCAGGAUUUGCUGUAGCUUAGCCUGCAUUUUGCUGACAACAAAAAUUAACUGUUACAGAGAAUUCCAUGAAAUGAGAGUGCAGGGAAAGCUGCCCCCUUCUGAAAGCAUCCUCCUCUGCAUGCAAAUUUACAAAUAAAUCUGGGGCAGGAGGAGUGCAGCAGACCAUUCUCCAUUCAUGAAAACGUAUAGCAGUCGGUACAAAAAAAAAAAAAGAACCUCCAAGAUCCUACGUGAGUAAUAUGCCGUAGAACCUAUGUACCCAAAGAAAGAUGGAGAGCUGUUUUUCGAUUCAUCUGUGCUCCUUGAAUUGUGCAUGGAAUAGAACUGCUGAAAUUAGAAAGAGCAUGUUCAAAUAAAUCCAUUAUCCUCUUGACCUUGUGAUGUAUGUAGCCUUUGAAGGUGGUGAGUUGCCUGGAUCACGUCCAAUUAAUCGCAAGCUUUGCUAAUAUAUUGACUACUAGCUGCUUUGCAUUUAGCAUUGCAUGGGAAUUUUAAGGAACAAAAAACACCCCCAGCACAGUCUUGAAAUCUGUGGUUAAAAUCAAUGCCGUUUGGAUAAGUUCAACCCACCACCUUGAUUCAAAAUGGCGUCCAACUGUAUCCAAACAUGGAUGCAAAUCUACUCCUUGAUCUCAGGAACAAUCAUGCAAAAUUUGGUUAAAACCAGUUGCCUCUGGUAUAACCCAAGAUGUAUGUCACACUUGGACACAGGUUAACCUGUUUAAGUCUACAUAACACCGCAUGCACUCAAUCUUAAAACACUUAUAAACUGCAGACAGAGCUUUUCCACCACACCCAGCAAUAUAUUUUCUCUUCCUCACCCCCUGCUUUUUUUGCUCAAGAGUCAGGCUGGAUAAAGGUUCUG